rnacentral:rRNA from 1 species
CCUACGGGAGACAGCAGUGAGGAAUAUUGGUCAAUGGGCGGGAGCCUGAACCAGCCAAGCCGCGUGAGGGAAGAAGGUACAGCGUAUCGUAAACCUCUUUUGUCAGGGAACAAAGGCGGGGACUAGUCCCCGGAUGCGGGUACCUGAAGAAAAAGCAUCGGCUAACUCCGUGCCAGCAGCCGCGGUAAUACGGAGGAUGCGAGCGUUAUCCGGAUUUAUUGGGUUUAAAGGGUGCGCAGGCGGCCUGUUAAGUCAGCGGUAAAAGCCCGGGGCUCAACCCCGGCGAGCCGUUGAAACUGGCGGGCUGGAGUUGGAGAGAAGUACGCGGAAUGCGCGGUGUAGCGGUGAAAUGCUUAGAUAUCGCGCAGAACCCCGAUUGCGAAGGCAGCGUACCGGCUCCACACUGACGCUGAGGCACGAAAGCGUGGGUAUCGAACAGGAUUAGAUACCCCAGUAGUC